CCUGGUUGAUCCUGCCAGUAGUCAUAUGCUUGUCUCAAAGGAUUAAACAUGCAUGUGGCAAGUAUGAGCGAAUUCAGACUGUGAAACUUCUGAAUAGCUCGUGUCGAUUAUAGUUUGUUUGAUGGUAACUACUCUUUCGGAUAGCAGUAGUAAUUCUAGAAAAUAAAGUCUGACAAACCCGACUUCACAGAGGGAUGCAUUUAUUAGAUAAAAGGUGUGAGCUCUGCGCUUAUUGCUCAUAUGAUUCAUGAUAACUCUUUCGUCGGAUGCAUGGCCUUAGUGCUGUGAUCAUUCAAAUUUCUGCCCUAUCAACUUUUGAUGGUAGGAUGGUAACCUACCAUGGUGAGUAGCGAGGUGACCGGAUUAGGGUUGAUUCGGAGAGGAGCCUGAGAAGCGGCUACCAUCCAAGGAAGGCAGCAGGCGGCAUGGAAAUACCCAAUCCCACCACAGGGAGGUGAAGGCUGACAAUAAAUAACAAUAAUACGGGCUCUUUAGUCUAAUUGGGAUAUAAAUUAAAUCUAAAUCCCUUAACGAGGGAUCCAUUGGAGGAGAAGUCUGAAUGCCACCCGCAGCCUUAAUUCAAAGCUCAAUAAGCGUAUAUUUAAGUUGUGCUUCCCGUUAAAAGCUCGUGAAUUGAACAACGGGAUGGGUGUGAGGUCCGCCUUGAGUGACCGGUCGGCUUAUCUCUUCACAAUGUGUCGCACCUGGCCUUAACUGGCGAAUUAGUUACCCUCGGCUGUUACUGAAGAAUUAGAGUAGCAAAAACGAACCCCUCGCUCAUAUGCAUUAGCAUGGGAUAACAUCAUAGGAUUCUGAUCCUAUUGUGUUGGCCGCCGGGAUCGGGUAAUGAUUAGUAGCAAGGACAGUCGAGGGCAUUCAAAGUAUUUCAUAGUCAGAGGUGAAAUUCUUGGAUUUAUGAAGAGCCGAACAACUCUAAAGCAUUUGCGAGGAUGUUUCAUUAAUCAGAGCGAAAGUUGGGGCUCGAGAGGCGAUCAGAUACUAGUCUGGUCUCUCGACCAUAAACGAUGCCGACCAGGGAUGGUGGAUGUUACUUUUUAGGACUCCAGCGGCACCUUGAAAAUCAAAGUUUUUGGGUUAGGAGUAUGGUCGCAAGGCUGAAACUUAAAGGAAUUGACGGAAGGGCACCACCAGGAGUGGAGCCUGCGGCUUAAUUUGACUCAACAACGGAAACUUACCAGGUCCAGACAUAGUAAGGAUUGACAGACUGAGAGCUCUUUCUUGAUUCUAUGGGUGGUGGUGCAUGGCCGUUCUUAGUUGGUGGAGCCGAUUUGUCUGGUUAAUUCCGUUAACAACGAGACCUCAGCCUGCUAACUAGCUUCGUGGAGGCAUCCCUUCACGGCGGGUUUCUUAGAGGGACUAUGGCCGCUUAGGCCAAAGGGAAGUUUGAGGCAAUAACAGGUCUGGUGAUGCCCUUAGAUGUUCCUGACGCAUACCUAUUAACUGAUGUAUUCAACGAGUUCACACCUUGGCCGACAGGCCCGGGUAAUCUUUGAAAUUUCAUCGAUGGGGAUAGAUCAUUGCAAUUGUUGGUCUUCAACGAGGAAUUCCCUAGUAAGCGAGUCAUCAGCUCGCGUUGACUACGCCGCCCCCGCCCUUUGUACACACCACCAAGCCUCCUACGAUUGAAUGAUCCGUUGAAGUGUUCGGAUCAGCGGCGACGGUGGUUCGCCGUCUGCGACGCGAGAAGUCCACUAAACCUUAUCAUUUAGAAGGAAGGAGAAGUCGAAUGAGGUUUCCGUAGGUGAACCUGCGGAAG
rnacentral:rRNA from 1 species